rnacentral:rRNA from 1 species
GAUGAACGCUGGCGGCGUGCCUAACACAUGCAAGUCGAACGGUGAAGCGCCUUCCUUUCUGGUGGGUGUUGAUGAGCGGCGAACGGGUGAGUAACACGUUAGUAACCUUCCCCCUUCUUCUUGAUAACCGCAUGCAAGUGCUGCUACUACGGGAUAUUCUGGAUCUGUCGCAUGAUGGGUCUGGGACAGUUUUUGUUUCGGUUGUGGAUGGGCCCGCGGUCUAUCAGCUUGUUGGUGGGGUGAUGGCUUACCAAGGCGGCGACGAGUAGCCGGCCUGAGAGGGUGGGCGGGCACAGAGGGACGGCACGGCCGAGAAGACUACGGCGGGAGGCAGCAGGGGGGAAUAUUGAACGGGGGGAGGAAGGAUGGAGCAGCGACGCGGCGGGGAGGAUGGUGGCCGUCGGGUAGAAAACCUCUAUCGCCAGUGAAGAAAUGCGGAAUCAAUUGUGGAUAGGUUGACGGUAGCUGGAGAGGAAGCGACGGCUAACUACGUG